UUCUUUUAAAGAGUAAAAUGUGAAAUGCUACAAUCCACAUUAGCAAAAUCUGAAGGGAAUAAAAAUUAAUGGGUGAAAAAGCUUACCAGUAAAAAGCACUUGUCAUUAGAAAAAAGAUUACUCGUUGGGUUAUCAGAUAUCAUCUUUAUUUGAGGAGUUUUUCCUUUGUUUUGGUCCAAUACUACAUCCAGUUGAGGAGCCAGAAUUACCAGGACCAAAAACCUUUGGAUCAUGUUGGGGAAGGUGUCGUAUGAAAUUUGGGGUAACAGACUCUUACCAAAUCAGUAUUCUCCAUUUAACUCAAUGGGAAUAAACUGAAAAUACAGACCUGAUGUAUAAAAUCCCCGUGUAUGAAAUGGUUAUACACUACUUUCUUUUAAGGUAACUAAAUUCCUCUCAAAGGAAUCUUAAACUUUGAGCAUUCUCAUCCAAUUGACUUGUAAAAUGUAACCAUUUUUGUGACUUUGAUUUCUUAAGUUCCAUUAUCAAUUGCUAUCUUAAUUGGAAAGUUGAGUAGUUAUAUCUGAAGGGACUUCCAGCAAGUCAGUAACUAUCAGAUUUAUCUUUGCUUCUAACCAGGAUUGGCUUCCAUAAUUAGAGGACAAUACCUUAUUCCCUUCAGGUUUCUGUACCAGCAAGCUAUGGAUGCCUCAUCUUUGUCUUUAAUUGUGUGUGGCUUCUGUGAUAUCGAUUGUGUUUCAUGUUACUUGCUAAUGUGGAAAGCCAGAUAAUACAGCAUGUGGAGAUAAUCUCCAAAAAAGUGACGGAUACGCGUGCAUGGCAGCUGUCCAUGCGUGGGCUGGAAUGGCACAGGCUGCCAGCUUGAUGUUUUCAAAUACAGCUUUGCAGGAAGCCAUAAAUUAUUCAACACCCAGCUGAUUUUUAUUUAUAAUUGAAAAAAAAUUAGCAUGCAGUGGCUCUUGCUCACACAAAAGUUUCAAGCAUUGUCCAUUAGGACUGGCCUAAUAGUCGAUAUGUGAUGUUAACUGGAACCCAGAUUUUUGACCCUUUCGUGUUUAAGCAUCCUCAGCCCUGCUCAAACUCCUUCUAAAUUUAUCUGCUAAAACUGUGUUUCUCAAGAGGUGGUCCCUGGACCUCCUUGCAUCAGAAUUACCUAAGGUGCUUAUGAAAAAUCUAGACUCCUGAAUCCUACUAAAGAACAAGUGAAUUGACAUCUCUGAGUAUGGUGCCGAGAAAUCUGCAACAUACUGCACUGUUACACAUACUGAUAAUUAACUGCAACUCCAAGUAUUGUUUUUCUCCUGCAUGUGAUGCAGCCCAACAAAGCUUUUGUUUCAAAAUAAAUCUAACUGCCCUGUCUAUUUAAAAAA